rnacentral:rRNA from 1 species
UGGGGGAUAUUGCGCAAUGGGGGAAACCCUGACGCAGCAACGCCGCGUGAAGGAAGAAGGCCUUCGGGUCGUAAACUUUUGUCUUCUGGGACGAAACAUGACGGUACCAGAGGAGGAAGCCACGGCUAACUACGUGCCAGCAGCCGCGGUAAUACGUAGGUGGCGAGCGUUGUCCGGAAUUACUGGGUGUAAAGGGCGUGUAGGCGGGACUGCAAGUCAGAUGUGAAAUACCGGGGCUUAACCCCGGGGCUGCAUUUGAAACUGUGGUUCUUGAGUGCAGGAGAGGAAAGCGGAAUUCCUAGUGUAGCGGUGAAAUGCGUAGAGAUUAGGAGGAACACCAGUGGCGAAGGCGGCUUUCUGGCCUGUAACUGACGCUGAGGCGCGAAAGCGUGGGUAGCGAACAGG